ensembl:lncRNA
CAAGUUGUCUAGGUGUAAGCGCGCACAGAUGCUGAGGAGCUUUUAUUUACUCGGAAGUUACGCAUGUCUCUAGUCCCUCUCAUGGGGGGCCACUGGGGAUACUUAUAAUGUCUGUGGCAUUUCACGUGGCUUGAGCCAAAGAUGUUCCGCUCUUCUCUUCUCAUAAUAGUUACUACUACAACCCUAAGGCCUCUCUCUUCGCCCCCCAAAUGUUAUAUUACUCCUCUUCCCUGCAAGGGACGGAGCAGAUCAUCCGAACGCAUGCACCAAAACCCAGCUUGUUAUCUCAACCAUAGUACGGACCUUUACCCCAUGUAUCUCGUCGGGCCUCCACCACGCUGUGAUUAAUGCUUUAGUCCUCCUCCAUAUAAACGGUAUGCAUAAUAAGACUCCGCUUCGGGAACAUUACGGUUCCUCUUUAGGCAACAGUAAGCCCACGUAUGAUAACCCAUACAUUAAGAAUAAAAGCCGAUCAAUGAUCGCUAUACCCCCGUCCCCACAGGAUUCACAGCUAUUCAUCGGCCCCCUUUUUGGGGGACCCUUACUGUGAUCAAAGCACAGGUGGAUAGCAUGCGGACCCUCCCCCUCCGCCCCAUCAUACCCGAGGGAUGAGCAGGUCACUAACUACCUUAACUAACUAACUUAACUACAGAUUCAAUUUUAGCGAUAACAAUAUACAGUGUUUUGCAAAACCAAGAAUGGUGGCGACACGAGCAUAGGGUGUUGAAGCUCCUCAGGCAAAGUAAAGCAGGGUUUAGAAAGGGUGGAUGGUAACGUUGUGAAUAAGAUGGAUGUUUUGUGUACUCAUCAGAAAAAACGUCAAGGUGGAGUUUUUAUUUUUUAACCGCAGCAGGAACAAUAUUAAUCAUUUCUUUGGUGGGGGUAUCAUUAAAUAUUUAUACGCGAAAGAGAUACGGAUAAACUGAUAACAUGUUAGCUCGUUGUGUUAAUGGAUCUCUGUGUACGUUUGUGUUGCUGUAAUUUAUGGUACGUCGGUGAAUUUAAAUUCGCCUGAGCCAGCUUUUCUUUCUCUUUUUCUCCAGGUAAAAAAUCAAAAUAUCGACAAAAACAUUAAGUUCAUUAGACUGUGACAUUUCCCCUGUGUCUUCAUAUUUUCAUGAGCAGGGAAUGGAGAUGUUGCACAGGGCUCAUCUCUGAAUCACCUGCACUUGCGUUGUGAGAAACAUCUGGACCGUCGCUGGCGUUACCGUGCACCGUAUUCAUAGCAAUGUUUCAAAAGCUUCAUUAAAAGGCUGCAAUAGUGAAGCGUCCUCUCUGACCUGGAUUACUGAUGGAUGUACAGGAAAUACAGUGCUUUGAAGGGGCUCCACCUUUGUUUAUUUUAGACGUACAAAACAAUUUGUUUUAGACAAUAUAAAUCAGACACACCGAUUAUAUGUCAUGGCUUCUUAAAUGGAAGAUCCAAGGUUAAACAGAAUAUAUUUUUUAUGUUGGAGCGAUUCGGGAAAGUUUUUUUUUUGUAUUUUUACCAUGC